GUCAAUAGAUUGGAAUGUUAAAAAAAAAUAUAAUCAGAUGCUCCUAUAAUCAAAGACAGUAGCAAAGCAUUCAAAGAAAAUAAAGCAACAAAAGUGACAAAUCAUCGGUUAUUUACAGACAAUAACUAAAAUCCAUGGAGACGUUGAAUGGCGAAUAAUAAUAACUAAUAGAGAUUAGUAGUCGUUGGAUUUAUAUCAGUUUAGACGAUGUCAACCGCGGAUUAUCAGUUAUCAGCCUUGCUUUGAAGAAGUAAAAGUACGAGACGUUCUAAUGUUCGUAGGCUAAUGCUGUAUAAUAGUCCAGAAACAGAACACCAAAGUUUUCUCAGUGCGAGUGACCAAUCCAUUCGGAAUUCGAAGCGAUGUCAAUAUUAGGAACCCUUCGAAUUACCUUCUUUUAACAUGUUUUCAGCAUCCGACCGGGAUAAGGCUCCGUGAUACCAGGAAAUACUUUCUUCGGUCUUCAACAAUCUUUGCUUAAAAUGACGUUGUUAGAUCCACGCAUGAGUCCACUGACAUUGAGUUACACACAAAUGUUUUUCAUGUUUGACCGCGAAGGUUAUAUCAUUGGUAUAUGCAGAAUCACUUAUCGACAGCUUCAAAAAGGUAACAGCAUCACAACUUCGACAGAAAAUCUCACGGCGGCAGCACCUCGUCGGAUUUUGCACAAUCGGUGAUCAUGAUAUUUUAAUUUUUUCUCCUUUGAUGUGAUACGUGAACAUCAUGCGUACACCACGUAUACAUACCAGCGAAUGUUGAUACGUGCUCGUCUACUACGUGCAAUACGUGUCAUCGCAUGACACCGAUGACACGUUGAACCAUCGGAACGUCUUUCAUUGGGUGUUCAUCGUUGAGUGAUUACAGUUGUUAGUGACAUCUCUAAGGAGAACCACAUUGAGAAACUAUAAUUCAGAAGGUUUCAAG